UUUUUUGAGUCUUUGAACAUGGUUGGUUCACUGUUGAAACGAAGAAAGGUCCUAAUUCAUACAAUGAUCUAGAAAGCCACCGUAAGGCAAUUGGGUCUCACCACAAAUUUAGGCACCAGCGCCUCAUCAAUCUCUCUCGCAAGUCAUAAAGAUUGCAUUGUCUUUCUUGAAAACUCUCCAUCGAUUGUCUUUCCUUGGCUUGAAAAGUUCCCAUCUUUGCUUGCAUACUGUUUAGUGUCUCAGAUUUCGUUCUCUUUCAUAUUUUAUCAUUAGCUUUGAUCAGUUGACACAAACUCUCUAACAAACAACUCUAGUUAUCAUCAUAUUUGUUUGCUCGGGCAUCAUCUUUACUGUACUAUUCAUAACAACGUUUGUUUGAUAGUAUUAUUGAGAUAUUAUCAUCAUGUUUCCCAUCUGAUAUCUCCUGUGCUCAAAGAAAACAGCUGCUUGUUGGAUCAAUAAAAGAACAGUUUUGAAGCCUUUGUUAGCGAGAAUACUGCUGCUGCUACUUUAGUUCUUUCAAGCUAUUGAUCGAGCUCUUUUGUUCCAUACAUCAGAUUAGAGCAACCAAUAAUUAUCAUGAAGGGUCAAAAACAGAAUUUGCCCACUACAUGUACGAAGCUAUUCAAUGCCCAGUUGCAACUCAUCAAUGUCCUUUCUUUUUUAUUUUUAUUUGGCUGUGGUCUUGUCACUGGGGUCGUUCUUAGUUCCUAUCUCAAACACGUAUCAUGCAAUCUACAUGUCAGCCAAUUCUCUGUUUCUACCACAACCACAACAACUGUUCCAUUGGCAACAUUACCAGCAUUUAAGUUGCCUCGCGUAGGCUUGAAAGAACAUUUGAAAGUGCCUGAUGUCAAGCAUGAUAUGGAUGAAAAGGAAUUGCUAUGGAGAGCUUCAAUGACUCCAAGGAUUCGUGAAUAUCCAUUCGAUAGAGUUCCUAAGGUUGCUUUUAUGUUUUUGACAAAAGGUCCAGUUUUGAUGGCUCCACUGUGGGAGAGAUUCUUCCAGGGGCAUGAGGGGUUGUACUCAAUUUAUGUGCACUCAAGUCCAUCUUACAAUGAAUCAGAACCAGAAAGUCCUGUCUUUCAUGGCAGAAGAAUUCCCAGUAAGGAUGUUCAAUGGGGGAAUACCAACAUAAUUGAAGCUGAAAGACGACUAUUAGCCAAUGCACUCCUUGACAUUUCUAACCAACGUUUUGUUCUCCUCUCAGAAUCAUGCAUUCCAAUCUUCGACUUCUCCACGGUCUACACUUACCUAAUGAACUCAACCAAAAAUCAUGUGGAUUCCUAUGUUUUAGAUGGUCCAGUAGGUAAUGGCCGAUACAAUCCCCGUAUGAGACCUGUGAUCAAAAUUGAACAAUGGAGAAAAGGCUCACAAUGGUUCGAAAUGGAUCGAGACCUUGCCAUUGAAGUUGUCUCGGACCAAGAAUAUUUUCCCGUGUUCCAAAAGUACUGCAAGCGACGAUUGUUACGCUGAUGAACACUAUUUACCAACAUUUGUGAGUAUGAAGCACUCGGAGAGGAACUCAAAUAGGAGUUUGACUUGGGUUGAUUGGUCGAGGGGUGGAGCUCAUCCUGCUAAGUUCUUAAGUAGAGAGGUGACCAUUGAGUUCCUGGAAAGGAUGAGGAGCGGCAGCAAAUGCGUGUAUAAUGGGAAUAGCACCAACACUUGUUUCCUGUUUGCAAGGAAAUUCUGGCCUCCUGCUUUAGAACGGCUGUUAAGGUUUGCUCCCAAGGUCAUGCACUUCAACUCAUAGGUUUAUUGAAUGAUUUCACUCUUUAUUCAUUUGUAUAAAUAUUGCAUAUUCCCUCCCUCACAAGAGACUAGACUUUAGAGCUCUUUGAUUCUCUGUUCUGUUCUGUUAAUAGGAUAUAAGCAUGGAAGUUCUUAAUUACUCUUCUUCCUUGAAUGUAUUUACAAGUACUCUACUUCAAUAAUUUUACACCUGUUUAUUACAGGUACUGAAUUUUAUUUC